UUCCUACGGGACGCAGCAGUCGGGAAUAUUGCGCAAUGGCGGAAACUCUGACGCAGUGACGCCGCGUAUAGGAAGAAGGUUUUCGGAUUGUAAACUAUUGUCGUUAGGGAAGAAAAAAGACAGUACCUAAGGAGGAAGCUCCGGCUAACUACGUGCCAGCAGCCGCGGUAAUACGUAGGGAGCGAGCGUUAUCCGGAUUUAUUGGGUGUAAAGGGUGCGUAGACGGGUUAGCAAAUUAGUUGUGAAAUCCCUCGGCUUAACUGAGGAACUGCAACUAAAACUGCCAAUCUUGAGUGCAGGAGAGG
rnacentral:rRNA from 1 species